GGUACGUAGCAGGACUCUGACGCAGCGACGCCGCGUGAGCGAUGAAGGUCUUCGGAUCGUAAAGCUCUGUCCUUGGGGAAGAAGGUCAUCUUAUGAUGUGUUGACGGCCCCGGAAGCUUCGGCCCCGGACCCCCCCGUAUAAGCAGCCGUAGUAAUAA
rnacentral:rRNA from 1 species